AGAGUUUGAUCCUGGCUCAGGAUGAACGCUGGCGGCGUGCUUAAUACAUGCAAGUCGAACGCUGAAGCUGACUAGCUUGCUAGUUAGUGGAUGAGUGGCGAACGGGUGAGUAAUACGUAGGUAACCUGCCCUAAAGUGGGGGAUAGCAGUUGGAAACGACUAUUAAUACCCCAUAGGUAAUUGAAUGGCAUCUUUCAAUUAUUAAAGACGCGUUUGCGUCGCUGUAGGAUGGACUUACGGUGCAUUAGCUUGUUGGUGAGGUAACGGCUCACCAAGGCGAUGAUGCAUAGCCGGCCUGAGAGGGUGAACGGCCACAUUGGGACUGAGACACGGCCCAGACUCCUACGGGAGGCAGCAGUAAGGAAUUUUCGGCAAUGGGCGAAAGCCUGACCGAGCAACGCCGCGUGAGUGAUGAAGGUCUUCGGAUCGUAAAGCUCUGUUGUAAAGGAAGAACUGAUACUUGAGGAAAUGCUAGUAUCUUGACGGUACUUUACUAGAAAGUCACGGCUUACUACGUGCCAGCAGCCGCGGUAAUACGUAGGUGGCAAGCGUUAUCCGGAUUUAUUGGGCGUAAAGGGUGCGCAGGCGGUCUGUUAAGUUUGAGGUGAAAGCGUUGGGCUCAACCCAAUCAAGCCUUGAAUACUGGCAGACUUGAGUGCAGAAGAGGGUAUUGGAAUUCCAUGUGUAGCGGUAAAAUGCAUAGAUAUAUGGAGGAACACCGGUGGCGAAGGCGGAUACCUGGUCUGUAACUGACGCUCAGGCACGAAAGCGUGGGGAGCAAAUAGGAUUAGAUACCCUAGUAGUCCACGCCCUAAACGAUGAGAACUAAGUGUUGGAGCAAUUCAGUGCUGUCGUUAACGCAAUAAGUUCUCCGCCUGAGGAGUAUGCACGCAAGUGUGAAACUUAAAGGAAUUGACGGGGCCCCGCACAAGCGGUGGAGUAUGCGGUUUAAUUCGACGCAACGCGAAGAACCUUACCAGGCCUUGACAUCCCUUGCAAAACUAUAGAGAUAUAGCAGAGGUUAUCAAGGUGACAGGUGGUGCAUGGUUGUCGUCAGCUCGUGUCGUGAGAUGUUGGGUUAAGUCCCGCAACGAGCGCAACCCUUAUUGCUAGUUGCUACGCAAGAGCACUCUAGCGAGACUGCCGUUGACAAAACGGAGGAAGGCGGGGACGACGUCAAAUCAUCAUGCCCCUUAUGUCCUGGGCUACACACGUAAUACAAUGGCGAUCAACAAAGGGAAGCAAAGCCGCGAGGCAGAGCAAAUCCCCAAAAGUCGUCUCAGUUCGGAUCGUGGGCUGCAACCCGCCCACGUGAAGUCGGAAUUGCUAGUAAUCGCGGAUCAGCAUGCCGCGGUGAAUACGUUCCCGGGCCUUGUACACACCGCCCGUCACACCAUGAGAGUCGGGAACACCCGAAGUCCGUAGUCUAACCGCAAGGAGGGCGCGGCCGAAGGUGGGCUUGAUAAUUGGGGUGAAGUCGUAACAAGGUAACCGUA
rnacentral:rRNA from 1 species